rnacentral:sRNA from 1 species
AAUAAAUCGAACUUUGUUAAGCAGAAAAUCAAUUUCAUGCAUGUGACUUAAGGUAUUUGUACAGUUUGUUUACAUGAGAGUUUAUAACUGAAACUUAAAUCAGAACUUACAUUUUGUGUUCAAAAUUAAUCAACUACAUAAAGGAUAAGGAAGAAAACACUAACAAGAAUAAGAUUAGCAUAGCAACGAUAGAUUGGAUUCGUGAGCAUUAAAAGUCAACAAUGAUCUAAUCACAUAAGAUAUAGAUUGCCACAUCACUAUAACAAUGUUGAAACAGUUGAAAUUUUAUGUCGUAGCAACGGCCAAAACUGUAAUGGAUACAAUAAAAUAUAUUCGGCAAGAGGACUCUAAUAGUGCGGUGAGCGUGGAUCUGAAGGUCGCGUGUUCGAUCCACGCUCACCGCACCAUUUGAUAACAAUACAAACUAUGAAUGGUGAUUUUGAAAAUUGCCCUAUUUUUGAGUUUUUGUUUGAAAAAUACAUUCUACCCUAUUUUCAAUUAAAAAUAUAAUUUUAAAUAUGUUAAAUGACAAUUUUUGUCCAGAUUUGAAAUAAAAGAAAUC